rnacentral:rRNA from 1 species
UACGUAGGGUGCGAGCGUUGUCCGGAAUUAUUGGGCGUAAAGAGCUCGUAGGCGGCUUGUCGCGUCGGUUGUGAAAGCCCGGGGCUUAACCCCGGGUCUGCAGUCGAUACGGGCAGGCUAGAGUUCGGUAGGGGAGAUCGGAAUUCCCGGUGUAGCGGUGGAAUGCGUAGAGAUCGGGAAGAACAUCGGUGGCGAAGGCGGCCAGCUGGGCCAUUGCUGACGCUGAUGCGCGACAGCGUGGGGAGCAAACAGG